UUCAAUUUCUUAUAUAGUCAUGUGAGCACAUAAAGGUGAAAGAUGUAGGUAUAGAUAUAGAUAUAACUGGUUUCAUUUGACUUUGAAGAUGAUUCAUGCAUUUACUAGUUUUUAUUUUUUUAUUUUUUAUUUUAUUUUAAUUCUGAUUUCCAAAUUCCAAGUUGGGAAAUUGUGAUGGCAGGUUUUGGUGGUUAGACAAGACCUGAAGAUGAAAGUAUGAAAGAUUGCGUCCCAAUGUGCUCAUGCUGCUACUGGGAUGUAUUCAGAACUGAUGCAAAGUUAUGACAAUGCUAAACACAGGAUUACUUCAUUUAUUCAAGCCCUGAAAUUUACUUUGAUUCUAAUAGUUUCUUUCCUCUCUCAUUCUCUUUAAUAAUUAACAUCCUUAAUGGCAAAAACAAUCUUUUGAGGAGGAACCAAACUUUGUUGCUUGCUGUAGCUGUUCAAAAUAAAGAUUGACAAAAUGGGAAAGAAAAAAAAAGGUUUAAAAAUCUAAGUGGCAUAAUGAAAUGGCAUAAUGAAAUAAUCUAAGUGGCACUGCACUGCACGAAACAAUCUAAGUGGCAUAAUGAAAUAUGUUUCCUUUCAUAAUAUCUCUAACUAAUCAAGUUUGUU